rnacentral:lncRNA from 1 species
UUAUUAUGGCUUAGAGAUUUUAAUUUUCCACAAAAGAUAUGAAAGGAGGACUUAAUAAUUAUGAAUCACUCAGUGAUAUAUAGGUCAAGGCUGUCAUUUUUAAAAUUCACUAUUUACAACAAAAAUGCAAAGUAAGUGUAACUAUUCCAAAAUUAUUGAUAAAGGAAACAGGUUCCAAAGGAGCAAAUUUACUUUCUUUUGGACAUCUUAACUUCCACACAGAGCAGAAACAAGGUAGCUUCAAAAUCAGAAUUUUUCUUUUUUGAGGAAGAUUAGCCCUGAGCUAACAUCUGCCACCAAUUCUCUUCUUUUUGCUGAGGAAGAUUGGCCUUGAGCACACAAAUGUUAACUGCUAUGCCACUGGCUUGCCUCUCAGAUUUGUUUUGUUCCAAAGCCAAUUAUCCUUCAGUGAAAUAAUUGGAUGUUUAUAGUUACUGUAUUUAAUGCCAUCUCUCAUUUAAAGACAAGUAAAAUGAAAUAAAAUUCCAGAAUUCAUAUCUUGAUGAAUUAUAAAAGACCUUUCUUAACUCUCUCCUAUUUCAAUACUCAUGUUUCUCCCACCGUUUUAUCGUCAGUAUCCUCUAGCAUGGGCACCAUACACAACGUUUCAUUUACAGAAUAAUGGGCAAUGCCAUUUUUGAAUGAAACAAAGAUGAAUGGUAGUCUUGUCUUUUUCAUCCCCUGGUGGUCAGCUGCCCCAUGGAGGGAGCAAGACUGGAGGGCAUUAAAAAUAAAUGAACGGUGGACGUGGGAUCUUCUUUGUUGACAAAACAAGUCUGAGAGAGAAGCGAUCAAGGCCUCCAGUUAAAUGGAGUAGUGACCUCAUCACAAAUUUCAAAGCAGAAAAGUCUGUGAGAAAGUAGCGUCACAUCAUGGAAAUCAAAGCACACGGAGCUAAUUCUAGGCUCUAAAGAGAGGACAGAUUAUUUAAUAAAGAUAAUGGCAUGGUUAAGUAACUAUUUGCAGAAAACAAAAUAUUAAGUUAUAGCUUUACCUCUAUCACACACACAAAUAAAUUUCACGUGGAUUAAAGAAUUAAGUAUAAAAGUUAAACCAAAAUCAGCAAAUCAAAAAAUAAAAAAGAACUAGAAAAAAUAUUCGUAAAAAAUUUAUUGAAUUGAAGAAUGGUCAUGAAAUACAUUAAUUUGAAACAAAUUCAGAAUUCAUAAAGGAUAACUAUUAUAGACAUUUUCCCAUAGAGAGUUUUAAAAUUUAUGUGGGCCAAAAAAAAAACGCCAUGAGUAAAAUUAAUACUCAAAUAAAAAAUUUCAGAAAAUGUUUAUUGAUGUAGGACAAAAGAGCUAACAACCUUAAUGUAUGAAAGUUUCCUCAAAACAAUUUAACUAAGUGCUGUCUCAGAAGAAAAAAUAUUCAAAGUAGUAGUUGAUAGAAAUAAAGUCACACCAGGCCUAGAAUGACUUCCACUUCUGGGAGGAUGAAGUAGACGUGCUUUUCCCUAUUCUACCACCUAAGUUC